UAAUCGUGUUUAGAUUUGCUUUAUCGACAA
rnacentral:piRNA from 1 species